rnacentral:rRNA from 1 species
GAGCCGAAGGGAAACCGAGUCUUAACUGGGCGUUAAGUUGCAGGGUAUAGACCCGAAACCCGGUGAUCUAGCCAUGGGCAGGUUGAAGGUUGGGUAACACUAACUGGAGGACCGAACCGACUAAUGUUGAAAAAUUAGCGGAUGACUUGUGGCUGGGGGUGAAAGGCCAAUCAAACCGGGAGAUAGCUGGUUCUCCCCGAAAGCUAUUUAGGUAGCGCCUCGUGAAUUCAUCUCCGGGGGUAGAGCACUGUUUCGGCAAGGGGGUCAUCCCGACUUACCAACCCGAUGCAAACUGCGAAUACCGGAGAAUGUUAUCACGGGAGACACACGGCGGGUGCUAACGUCCGUCGUGAAGAGGGAAACAACCCAGACCGCCAGCUAAGGUCCCAAAGUCAUGGUUAAGUGGGAAACGAUG